CAAGUACUCAAUUACUGACUACCACAAAGAGCAUUUCAAGACAGCUGGAGAGAUUAUGGCAGUCAGUAUAGUACAAGGUGGUCCUCCACCUAACUUUUUCAGAGAGUGGUGCUAUGGAUACAUAUCCACUGGGGAGAUGGAUAGAGAUUCCAUUUCCAAGGAAGAUGUGACUGAUCCAGAGCUCAGCCAGCUUAUGGAAGAGGUUGAGAUGGCUGAACCUGAAGCUAUGUA